CACAUCCUCCAUAGCAUAUGCUAAAUUGAUAUCAACAUCAGAACAGCCUAAAGAAUCGAAAUAUGUAUCUCGACGACUUCUCUCUAGUACAACAGAAAACUCUACUACCAGCAGCGGGCUUGUCUGGGAGCAAUGUGACUUCGAAACC